rnacentral:rRNA from 1 species
AUUGAACGCUGGCGGCAUGCUUUACACAUGCAAGUCGAACGGCAGCGCCGUCUUCGGCCUGGCGGCGAGUGGCGCACGGGUGAGUAAUGCAUCGGAACGUGCCCAGUAGUGGGGGGUAGCACGGUGAAAACCGGAUUAAUACCGCAUACGACCUGCGGGUGAAAGCGGGGGACCGAAAGGACUCGCGCUAUUGUAGCGGCCGAUGUCGGAUUUGCUAGUUGGUGGGGUGAAGGCUUACCUAGGCGGCGAUCCGUAGCUGGUCUGAGAGGACGACCAGCCACAGUGGGGGUGAGACACGGCCCAGACGCCUACGGGAGGCAGCAGUGGGGAAUUUUGGACAAUGGGGGCAACCCUGAUCCAGCCAUGCCGCGUGCGGGAAGAAGGCCUUCGGGUUGUAAACCGCUUUUGUUCGGGAAGAAAUCCUCUGGGCUAAUACCCCGGGGGGAUGACGGUACCGGAUGAAUAAGCACCGGCUAACUACGUG